rnacentral:rRNA from 1 species
GGCAGCACGGGUGCUUGCACCUGGUGGCGAGUGGCGAACGGGUGAGUAAUACAUCGGAACGUACCUUAUCGUGGGGGAUAACGCAGCGAAAGUUGCGCUAAUACCGCAUACGCCCUGAGGGGGAAAGCGGGGGACCGUAAGGCCUCGCGCGAUUAGAGCGGCCGAUGUCUGAUUAGCUUGUUGGUGAGGUAAAAGCUCACCAAGGCGAUGAUCAGUAGCUGGUCUGAGAGGACGAUCAGCCACACUGGGACUGAGACACGGCCCAGACUCCUACGGGAGGCAGCAGUGGGGAAUUUUGGACAAUGGGGGCAACCCUGAUCCAGCAAUGCCGCGUGAGUGAAGAAGGCCUUCGGGUUGUAAAGCUCUUUUGUCAGGGAAGAAACAGCAGCUCUAACACAGACUGCGAAUGACGGUACCUGAAGAAUAAGCACCGGCUAACUACGUGCCAGCAGCCGCGGUAAUACGUAGGGUGCGAGCGUUAAUCGGAAUUACUGGGCGUAAAGCGUGCGCAGGCGGUUAUACAAGACAGGCGUGAAAUCCCCGGGCUUAACCUGGGAAUGGCGUCUGUGACUGUAUAGCUAGAGUGUGUCAGAGGGGGGUGGAAUUCCACGUGUAGCAGUGAAAUGCNUANAUAUGUGGANGAACACCAAUGGCGAANGCAGCCCCCUGGGAUAACACUGACGCUC